ensembl:lncRNA
CCUCCGUCUCAUGUUUUUUCCAGCUGUCUGGUACUCUGUGACUUUUCCAGCAUCUUAGAGUUGGCGUCUGUGCCGUAGAGAGAGUUUUUACAGCAAGAAACCAAGGCAGAAACAAUGUCUCUUACCCUUUUGAUGAUGAAAAAUUGGAUUUCUAAGAAGACAAAUAACUCAGUGAGGGUUGCAUAACUAGAGCGAGCUGGCCCCGAACUCUGGUUCUUACAUGUUCUCCUGCUGCUGCACAGCAGCCGCUGAGAGGGUCGACCAGAUGACCUGACAGCCCUUUCGUGAUAUAGAUGCAGCAAUUCUGUGUUGCCCUCUUCAUCAGCAAAAGAAAUACAGAAGGCAGAGGACUCGGAGAUGGAAAUACACGCCUUUCCUGUCUUCCUUGGAGGUGUCACCCCACCUGCCAGAUGGGCCCCCAGAGCAACUUGCACCCUCUGAGUGCGCUUCUCUGACAGUUUAUAAACCACAGUGUGGAUGUUUCACCGGCAGGAAGAAACAGCUGCCAAGUCACACAUCGAGAGCCGGACAGAGGCCUCUUCCUGUGUGUGUGGAAAAACCACGAGCUCUGCAGUCAGAGAGGAUAUUGGAGGCCAGAGAGGGAAGAAGCCGGAGAGAGAAACGAGGUGAUGAGAGAAACACACAGGCAAGAGUCAGAACGUGACAAGAAGCUGAACGAUGGUGGAGGUGCUGCUGCAGGAGAAGGGAUGUAAGGAUCUGGCCUGGGUGGGGAGGGUCCUGUCUGUAUCAGAGACAGGGUAGCCUGAACCUCACCAUUGCCCUCUCCCAGCCCACCCACUGCUGGCUUCCCUGAACGGAGCAUCCAUUUCCUGCGGCUGCUGUCAUAAGUGACCAUAGGCUGGUUGACUUGAAAACGACCCAGAUGUACUCUCCCUCAGUUUAGGAGGGGCCUGUGUGUGUGCUCAGUCGCUCAGUCAUACCUGACUCCUGCAUCUGCUGCAUUGGCAGAAAGAUUCUUUACCACUGCACCAUCUGGGAAGCUCUCUCUUGGUUGUGGAGGCCAGAAGGUCAGCCAGGGUGUUGGCAGGCCACGCUCCCGCCAUAGGCUCUAGAGGGGGCUCCGUCCUGGCCUCUCCCAACUUCUCGCAGCCCCGGGUGUUCCUGGGCCUGUGGCUGCCUCACUCCUGUCUCUGCCUCCAGUCGCCUCUUCUCCCUGCAUUUCUUAUAAGGACACCCGAUGUGGCUUUCUAGUCCAGCCCUACACAAUCUAGGAUGCUCUCAUCUUGAGAUCUUUAACUUAAAGACAUCUGCCAAGACCCCUUUUCCAGAUAAGGUCAUGCUGGCAGGUACUGGGGGACAUAUCUUUUGAGGGAUCACGAUUCACACACUGUGCCAUACAUUCCUUACUCACCUUGCCUGACAGCUCUUUUUGAGCCUGAAUAUACAAAAGAAAUGUGGGAAGUGAGACUGGGUUUACAGUUUAGAAACAGAGGCAAAGCAGAUGUUUGCAGAGCUUGAUGGAAAAUGGUGGGUGUGUUGGAGACGUGGAGAGAAAUACAGUAGAAUGGAAGCUUAAAGGGGCAAGAGAUACACCAGCUUGGCUUGGGGGCCAGCAAGGAAAAGGAGGCUCCUCAUAGCAGACCUGAUAUGUGAGUGGAUUUUGACAGACAGGAGGACAUGAACUUGUGGGACAGGGACAAUCUGGGCAGAAAAACUAGCCUCAGGGAGGCCCAGAGGCAGGAAGCAGGGGGUUCACAGGCAGUGCUAAGAACUAUCUGGAGUGAUGGGAGCACAGAUGAGUGGAUGGCCGAGGCAAGAGGGGAUGGUAGAGAGGGUGUCUGGGGACAGGAUAGGGUGCCUUGAAUGGGGUUCAGCCAGGGAAGCCUGCACAACAUUAUGAAUAUAAGGGCAUGGUAUAAAAACCUGAUUUCUGAAGAUAGUACUUUUAUAUUUCAUAGAGUAAAAAUUAUUUUUUCAUAAACAGUAAAAAUUAUUUUAAGCUAUUUGAGAUGCAGUAGAGGCAGAAAGAGGCCUUUCUGGAGCUUCCUUUAACUGACUAAACGCAGACACUUCAGAGAAGUGAGAACCACCAUAGAUUCCUUCUUGGGUGUGUGUCUGAUCCCAGGAGUGAGACGAAGAGUAAACCUACCUCUGCAAACUCUCUUGUCUCCUGAAACCUAUUUGCUCUUUCCAUUGGAGACUUUUCCUUUUCCUCCCUUUCCUCUGGCAAGUUAGCUAUUUAAGCCCCAAAUCAUAACCACUGUUUUGAGUGCCUCAUCACGGAGCUCUCCCACAUGCACGCACAUUACAUGUGUAGAUAAAAGUAUGCUUCUCUUGCUCAUUGGGCUUUUGUCAACUUAAUUCACAGGCCCUUGGGCACAGAACGUAAGAGGAUAGAGGAAAAGUUAUUCCCACCCUACAGUUUAUAUAUCGUACGUGUGAAUUAAAAUGUAGACAGAGACUUAAGAUGGGAACACUGGUUCAUAGACUAUUAAAUAAUCCCGGCACGAUUAGCAGGGGAGAAAGGAGAGAUAAGUAUGUAUUUAGAGAGACUGCAGAGGCAGAUUCAAAAGGAUUUUGUAGAAGGAAGAGAGGGAGGGAGGUUAGAAAGGGACAGCAGAUAGCUGACAAGAACUCUGUGGCUCUGAGCCUGGAUGACCAGGUCCAUGAUGGUGCUGUUAUUAGAAUUAGGAAGUAAGAGAUAGAAAGAUCUUAAGAAAACAGGACAUGUUAAUGGAACCUGCGUGAAGCCUGGCAGAGAGCCUAAACUGGAGAUGAGGAUUGAGAUGAUUGUGUUGAGGAUCCUUAAAGGCAUGGGGUAAGAGAAAAC